rnacentral:misc_RNA from 1 species
AAGUCGUAACAAGGUUUCCGUAGGUGAACCUGCGGAAGGAUCAUUAACAGAUUCUGCUAGCCAGAUUCUUACCCCGUGUGAACUGUUCUUUAGACUUGGUGUCCAAGACUUCGUCUUUGGGGGUCUCGUGAUCCUCAUUGGCGAGUCUAGGCACCAUCAUUUUUACCCUCUAACUUUGAAUGCCGAGACUAUUAAAAAGACUUAGAAAACUUUUAGCAACGGAUCUCUAGGCUCUU